rnacentral:rRNA from 1 species
GGAAUAUUGCACAAUGGGGGACACCCUGAUGCAGCAACGCCGCGUGAAGGAAGACGGUUUUCGGAUUGUAAAUUUCUUUUCUUAGUGAAUAAGAAAGUGACCGUAGCUAAGGAAUAAGCAUCGUCUAAUUACGUGCCAGCAGCCGCGGUAAUACGUAGGAUGCGAGCGUUAUCCGGAAUUACUGGGUGUAAAGGGAGCGCAGGCGGGACUGCAAGUUGGAUGUGAAAUGCCGCAGCUUAACUGCGGAGCUGCAUCAAAAACUGUAGUUCUUGAGUGGAGUAGAGGCAAGCGGAAUUCCGAGUGUAGCGGUGAAAUGCGUAGAUAUUCGGAGGAACACCAGUGGCGAAGGCGGCUUGCUGGGCUCUAACUGACGCUGAGGCUCGAAAGUGUGGGGAGCAAAC